AGAUAGAAGUUACUUCGGUACAUCGGUGACAGGUGGUGCAUGGUUGUCGUCAGCUCGUGUCGUGAGAUGUUGGGUUAAGUCCCGCAACGAGCGCAACCCCUAUUGUAGUUGCCAUCAUUCAGUUGGGCACUCUAGCGAGACUGCCGGUAAUAAACCGGAGGAAGGUGGGAUGACGUCAAAUCAUCAUGCCCCUUAUGACCUGGGCUACACACGUGCUACAAUGGUUGGUACAACGAGUUGCGAGUCGGUGACGGCGAGCUAAUCUCUUAAAGCCAAUCUCAGUUCGGAUUGUAGGCUGCAACUCGCCUACAUGAAGUCGGAAUCGCUAGUAAUCGCGGAUCAGCACGCCGCGGUGAAUACGUUCCCGGGCCUU
rnacentral:rRNA from 1 species